rnacentral:rRNA from 1 species
CAGCCGCCACGGGAAUACGAAGGGUGCAAGCGUUAAUCGGAAUUACUGGGCGUAAAGCGUGCGUAGGCGGUUUGUUAAGUCUGUUGUGAAAUCCCCGGGCUCAACCUGGGAAUGGCAAUGGAUACUGGCAAGCUAGAGUGUGUCAGAGGAUGGUGGAAUUCCCGGUGUAGCGGUGAAAUGCGUAGAGAUCGGGAGGAACAUCAGUGGCGAAGGCGGCCAUCUGGGACAACACUGACGCUGAGGCACGAAAGCGUGGGGAGCAAACAGGAUUAGAUACCCGGGUAGUCCCUGUCUCUUAUAC